CGGAUAGAACGUUGGCGGCGUGCCUAAUACAUGCAAGUCGAACGAAGACUGUAGUAAUACUGUCUUAGUGGCGAACGGGUGAGUAACGCGUGGGUGACCUGCCCCGAAGUGUGGGAUAACAGUUCGAAAGGAUUGCUAAUACUGCAUAAUAUCUAAGAGAUUAGACGCUUUUGGAUUAAAGGAGUAAUUCGCUUCGGGAGGGGCCCGCGUCCCAUCAGCUAGUUGGUAAGGUAAUGGCUUACCAAGGCGAUGACGGGUAGGGGACCUGAGAGGGUGGCCCCCCACAAUGGAACUGAAACACGGUCCAUACACCUACGGGUGGCAGCAGUAGGGAAUAUUAGUAAUGGGCGAAAGCCUGAACUAGCAACGCCGCGUGUGCGAAGAAGGCCUUCGGGUUGUAAAGCACUUUUUUGAGAGGAUGAGGAAGGACGGUACUCUCAGAAUAAGUCUCGGCUAACUACGUG
rnacentral:rRNA from 1 species